UUAGGCCCAGCACGAUCAAAAGCUUAUUUAUUCUCACACAUACGACGACACACGUUUUCCUUCAAAAAUACGAUCACCCUCUUUUCUCAUUUCUUUUUUAUACUUUAACUUAAUGUUUCCUCUGUUCAGAAUAUUGAAAAAUAUGCUACUGCUUUUCUCCGUUUCUCCGUCAACAAUCACCAGCUAAGUUUGCUUUCUCCAUAAACGGUCACCGGUCGGUUUGUACUCUCACCGAUCUGUUUCAAUCACGGACCAAAACCCAUCUCCGAUUCCCGCACCUAUAUGUCAUACAGCGAGGAGUUUCACUUAGUCUUGAGUAAUAAAUUCAACAUCAAUAAAAAAUGGGACUCAUUUGAUGUAUUGAGGAGGCAAUAUAUGCAUGCUAUCUGUUUGAUAAAAGUCCUCAAUUGAUUUUUUAAAAAUUAAAAAAAAUUGAAAGGAAUUAAGAUGCAGGAUAUGAGAAAUUGACUGUUGUUCAGGAGGCCACUCUUCCCCUUAUACUAAAAGAUACAAGUCAGGACGCAGAUGCCAUGAUUUCCUGCUCAUUAUCUCUAGUUCUUAUCACAUUUGAUGGCGGCAAUGGUGGAGGCGGAGAUGGGUUGUCAUCCAUAGCCCACGAUUUCUAAGCCUCCCUCCUCGACGCCGGAUCCAGUUCUUAUCACAUUUUAUGGCGGCGAUUGGUGUUUUAUAAGGUCUAUUUUAUUAUAUUUUAACUAUAUUUGAUUCAAUUGAUAAAUCUGGUUAUCAUUUUUUAUUUAUAAAUAUUCAUAGUUUACUAAUAGUUCACUUUUAGUUAACAUUUUUAUGAUAAAUCUGUAAUAAUUUGUAGUGAUUUGUCAUGUCAAAAAGAUACACGGUAAACACUUGAUGAACCUACGAUAAAAUAAUUAAUUGAAAAGAUUAAGAUGUAUUUAUUGUUUAUUAACAAUAAACUGUGAUUUUCUUGCUUUA